GGUGCUGGUGUUCCUCGCCGAGCACGAUCACCGGAUCCGGCCGGUAAUUCAAAUUGUUGAAACUCUGCUCCCGAACGAACGAACGAGAAAGGAAAAAGAGAAAUUUGUUUGAAAAUGAAAAGACAUCGUCGUUGGAUUUCGUCGUGCUGCACGGAGCAGUCACGCUUGUCUACCCCGCCCUCUCUCUGUAUGUACAACCGUCGUUCAAAAUGGAGCUGCUGACGAAACCGGCCGGAAAAGAUUUCCUUCUCCAUUUCGGUUGUGCUUUACGAGCUUUUCAACAGGACCGUUCGUUAAGGAAAGCCAACUUAUAAUCACACAGCCACCGAUAAAACAUACAUCGCGUUUAUUUAGAGGCUCCGUGCUAGUAAAUCUUUUUCGCUGGUGUUGUUUUCGGCACGAUAUUAUUCCCCCCCCGUUCUUUGCUGUCAGCUUCGUCCGUCACGAAUUCCUGCCAUUUCUGGCGUGAAAAUCUUUUUUCGUUCGACAAACGCAAUAACACGGUGGCAUCUGCAGCGUUUUGAGCACGUGAAAGCUUCGACACGAAACACUUUAGGACGUGAACGCACCGAAAAGGCAAAAACGAAAUCGAGUACAUCCAGAUGAAACGGCCAAUGACCGAUGGACAUCUACGGGAGAACGCCGCAACAUUUUUUUUUAACGGCUAGUGAUAGGCAUGUCCAACGACCGCCGACACGACAACUUUCUCAUCGACGACCCAGACGGAGGGAAAGUUUUUCGGCUAUGCCAGACACAAUGCAACAGCCGAUCGCCAGCAAAGAGAUAAAAGAUUGCAAACGAUCUUUUCUAAGUAUGGCUAAUCCCCAUUCAUCCUACGGAUCAACCGGCGUGCAAACAAUACCCUGACACGACCAAUCCCGCAUCAGUUGGGAUUUCUAUUUUGCAUAGACGAGAUGGGGUCCAGCUCUUCGCCAAAGCCACGCUUUUUUUUUAUGAUACCGAGGAAGACGCCCGACUGACCUUAUAUGGCGAAAAAACCUUGUACAUGCACAAGACUCGGUGGCUGUAAAAAAAAAAAAAAAAAAAAAAAAAGGAUCCCAAUGUUGAACUUUUCUUUUAACGUGUGUCCACCCGUGUUGGGGUAUGACGUCAUUUAUAUUCAAAAAAAUGAAAAAGAAAAACGACGGUUGGGUUCCUCUAGUGCUUCGCCCCAGACACUCACGGACGGAUAAAACUAUUGAGAAGUUUACCUGGACAGGUGAAUCACCUGAAAUCUAUUGGGAGUCGUACAGCGCAGCUGUCGGCCGCAGCGCCACGCCACAGACCUUAUUUUCUAUUUUGAUACGACCGCGCUCUGCUUAUAAUUCGACGAUGAUAAACAAAGGAGAAACAAUGCCAUUGAAAAUGGAAUAGAACAAUUACCCUGCGGCUAUGACCUCUUCCAGGUGAUUUUUGAUCGUUUCCUCGACGCCACAAAACGCUCAAUCCUCCCCAAAAAGCCCUUCGUGUCGUUUGAUUGUUGUCAAUGAAAAUCGUAUCAAGGACGACGAUCGUGUGUGGAUUUAUCUAGGAUGGCUAAUCGGCCCUGUCGCAGUAAUAACGAGAGCACUAAAAUAGUGCGUGCAUCAAAAAGCGCCAGAGCUUAUUCGUUGCGGGACGACGACGGUGACGGUCCGUGAUGCAUCCAAACGAGCUGAUUGAAUGUAAUCUGAUGUCAUGCCUGUCAAAGUAGAUUUUAUGAUUGUGUUGGGUGCAUUUGUUAGGGAGACGUGACGACUGCGAAACGAACACACGCAGACAAAAUAGACGGGAGGCGCUGGCUCUUCAGGUUCCCUCCAAAUGGCCGAACCUCGUUUCGCAAAUGAACCACGUACUCCCACCGAAAAACGCCGCGCCCAAUAGCGUCAUCACGGCAUUCUUCUUCCUGGUACAAUCAAGCUGUCGUGAACUUGAAACGUUAGGCGUGUGUAAAGUUCGGUUCCUGCCUCCUCCCACUCUCGUUUUUAAACGCGAUAGUUUCUAUCUGUUAGAAGGGUAUGCCAGGUCCAUUAAAAUUAUCAGCGUGUAUCUGGCCAGUUGUUUGAAUGCUUCACCGGUAAGUGCCAAAUGCCCUUUGUGUUCAUCGGAAAUAAAAGCAUUUUAAUAAUGUUUAUAGCCUCCGUUGCGUGAUUCCCACGCUAUGAUCAUAUAUCUCUCGUUUUACGAGUUAUGAAAGAAAAUAUAAGUUAUUACACAGGAAUGGUAGUAAAAUAA